GAUGUGUACAUAUUUUAAUUAAAAAUCAUUUUAUUAAAUUAAAUAAAAUUACAUUUAAAUCCAAUUUUAAAUAAAUAUUACAGUUUAUUAUCCAAAAAUAAUUUUAUUGUAAUCCAUUAUAUUCUUAAAUAUAAACUACAUCUUGAUCUGAUUUAAUUUUUUUUAAAAAUUUUAAAAUAUUAAAUUUCAUAAAAAAUAUUUUUUUAACAACGAUAUAUAAAUUUUUAAUUUAAGUAAAUUAAUUCGUGGAUUAUCAAUUAUUAAACAGAUUCCUCUAAAUUUACUAAAAUACCGCCAAAUCAUUUAAAUUUCAAUAAAUAAUUAUUUACUAAUUU
rnacentral:rRNA from 1 species